rnacentral:rRNA from 1 species
GACGAACGCUGGCGGCGUGCUUAACACAUGCAAGUCGAACGGAAAGGCCCUGCUUUUGUGGGGUGCUCGAGGGGCGAACGGGUGAGUAACACGUGAGUAACCUGCCCUUGACUUUGGGAUAACGUCAGGAAACUGGGGCUAAUACCGGAUAGGAGCUCCUGCUGCAUGGUGGGGGUUGGAGAGUUUCGGCGGUUGGGGAUGGACUCGCGGCAUAUCAGCUUGUUGGGGGGGUAGUGGCUUACCAAGGCUUUGGCGGGUAGCCUGCCUGAGAGGGUGAACGGGCAAGUUGCGGCGGACAGACGGGCCAGACCCCUUGGUGAGGCAGCAGGUGUGAAUUGUGCAGAAUGGGCGGAAGCCUGUUGCAGCACCGCCGCGAGCGGGAAGUCGGCCUUCGGGUUGUAAACCUGUUUGGCCGGUGACGUAGGUAGCGUGACGGUAACGGGUAAAGAAGCAACGGCUAACUACGUG